rnacentral:rRNA from 1 species
UUGAUCUGAAAUCAGAUGGGAUUACCCGCUGACUUA